rnacentral:rRNA from 1 species
CCUACGGGUGGCUGCAGUGAGGAAUAUUGGUCAAUGGACGAGAGUCUGAACCAGCCAAGUAGCGUGAAGGAUGACUGCCCUAUGAGUUGUAAACUUCUUUUAUAUGGGAAUAAAAUGUUCCACGUGUGGGAUUUUGUAUGUACCAUAUGAAUAAGGAUCGGCUAACUCCGUGCCAGCAGCCGCGGUAAUACGGAGGAUUCGAGCGUUAUCCGGAUUUAUUGGGUUUAAAGGGAGCGUAGGUGGAUUGUUAAGUCAGUUGUGAAAGUUUGCGGCUCAACCGUAAAAUUGCAGUUGAAACUGGCAGUCUUGAGUGCAGUAGAGGUAGGCGGAAUGCGUGGUGUAGCGGUGAAAUGCUUAGAUAUCACGAAGAACUCCGAUUGCGAAGGCAGUUCACUGGACUGCAACUGACACUGAGGCUCGAAAGUGUGGGUAUCAAACAGGAUUAGAUACCCUUGUAGUC